rnacentral:rRNA from 1 species
UACCAGCACCCCCGAGUGGUCGGGACGAUUAUUGGGCCUAAAGCAUCCGUAGCCGGUUCUACAAGUCUUCCGUUAAAUCCACCUGCUUAACAGAUGGGCUGCGGAGGAUACUAUAGAGCUAGGAGGCGGGAGAGGCAAGCGGUACUCGAUGGGUAGGGGUAAAAAUCCGUUGAUCCAUUGAAGACCACCAGUGGCGAAGGCGGCUUGCCAGAAUGCGCUCGACGGUGAGGGAUGAAAGCUGGGGGAGCAAACCGG